CGCUGGCCCGCGCCCAGAGCCCGAGGCCGCGGGGCCUCCCGGGCAGGAAGUCAAUCCUGGACGGGAUUUCUGACGUGGUCUCCCCGCCGAAGGUGCCCUAAGUAAAAAUUAAUGCAAAAAAAAAUCCAUGAUGAACAGAAUGUCACAAAUUUAAGUGAGGACUGGAUGGAUGGACAACAAGCCAUAUUGGAGCCGGAAACAAAAGGAAGCAUCAGUAAAACUGAUCCUGUCUGGUAGUCCUUAGGAGAAGAGAGACACCUCCCGUCUCCCUUUCAGGGCCAGAGGCUGAUGUGGAAGGGACUCUGACUCUGUCAAAAGGGCCAGCUGAUGUCUAGAAUGUGUAAGCUGUAGAGAGCUAUAAGCCCAGCAUGACCCAGAGAGGGGCUGUUCCUACAGCUUGGAUCCAUUAACGAAGACAACUUGGGAAGGGAGCUGCAGCCAGACUGAGUGAGAAGUGAGGAAAAGCUCUGAAGUUAUGUCGGCUCUGGGAACCUCGGCCCUGGAAAAUCACUGAGCUUCUCAGCCCUCCCAUCAGCAGGACCCUCUCCACUCCAGCAGCCAUGGGUGCCAGCUGAAGGUCAGCGCCCUUGCUGAUGCAGAGCCCCAACUAGACGCUGCCCCAGGGAGUCUCUGGCCUCUCCCGGGUGCUGUGAAUGACUCGAGCUGAAUUCAGGUCUCACUUUGAGAGGAAGGACGUCAUCCCAACUGGCUCAACUGCUUUGCCUUGCCUGGGGAAACAAAGUUUAAUACGCAGAAUGAAACCAUUUUAAUGGCUGGCUUAUGCUGCCCCAAACAAGACAUCGAUUGGGAGUCCAGCUCAAAGAGAUUAAGUGACCAGCUCAGAGCGACACUUCUGGUAAAUGAGAGUCGAGAUUUAGGCCCUGGUGGUCUGAGCCCAGUUUCCGAGCUUUUUGAAUUACAUCACACUGCUUCCCUUGCAAAAGAGCCCUGGGUUCUUAGAACUUGGAAUAUGCCAUAAAUAGUUCACCUUCUACAAAGAGAGACUUGUGGUUGGUCAGGAAACAGGAAAAAUCUCAUCAUUUCUUGAGUAUUUACAUUCCAGAGUGGACUGUUCAUUCUUUGCUUUGGGCAGGCUCACAAGGAGAUUUCUCUGUGUUUUAGAUAAUCCUACAAUGAAAAGUCAGCACUGGGGACGAUUUCAGGUGAGACCAGGGAUCCUGUGUAGACUAGCUUCAUAGGGCUGCCGUAACACAGUACCACAAAAUGGGUGGCUUAAGUCAGCAGAAAUUUAUCUCUCACAGUUCUGGGGGUCAGAAGUCUGAAAUCAAGGUAUUGGCAGGGUUGGUUCCUUCUGGAGGCUUUGAGGGAGAAUCUGCUCCAGGCCUUUCUGCCAGCUUUUGGUGGUGACCAGCAAUCCUUGGCCUUCCUUAGACUAUAGAUGCAUCAUCACCCCAAUCUCUGCCUCUGUUGUCAAAUGGCAUUCUUCGUCUGUGUGUCUGUCUGUGUGAGUGUCUGUGUCUCUGUUUCCUCUUUUAUAAAGACAACAGUCAUUAGAUUUAGGGCCAACUGUAAUCCAGGUAUGACCUCAUUUUAACUAAUUACAUUUGCGAAGACCCUAUUUUCCAAAUAAGGUCGCAUCCUGAGGUUCUAUAUGGACUUGAGGGGAUACUCAUUCAACUUACUACACUGUAUCUUCCUGUUUUGUUCAAUAAAUAGGGAUGACACUUCUGGAAUACUCUAAGUCUUCCUAACCAGCUAUGUCCUGACCCAGGAAGGUGGUGCCGGGACAAUUCUGCCCAUCUUACAGGCAGGGGAAGGAAAAGGGAGUAAGACAGGUGGAGGUGACCUCAGAGCAGCUCACAUACUGCUGCUGGCUGCAGCCAAGAAGCAACAUACGCUGGGCCUGGGGUGGGGGUGGGGGUGGGGGAGUGUAUCAUUUUAUUGGCAUGGAUUUUGGGUCAAAACACUUAUAUUUUAGUGAGUAUAAGGAUAAAUUAAGAGUGGGGCAGAGGGAAGGAAAAAGGAAGAGGGAGAGCUGGCUUAGUCACAAAAAUGAUCCUCCCUCCCCCCAAAAUAGUUGGGAAUUCAUUUAACUUGGAAAAAAUGAUAUAUAUAUAUGUAUAUUUAUAAAUUUUUAUUUUUUAAAAUUUAUUUUUGGCUGCGUUGGGUCUUCGUUGCUGCGCGUGGGCUUUCUCUAGUUGCAGCGAGCGGGGGCUACUCUUCGUUGCGGUGCAUGAGCUUCUCACUGUGGUGGCUUCUCUUGUUGUGGAGCACAGGCUCUAGGCACACGGGCUCAGGAGCUGUGACUCGGGGGCUCUAGAGCGCAGGCUCAGUAGUUGUGGCGCAUGGGCUUAGUUGCUCCACUGCAUGUGGGAUCUUCCCAGACCAGGGCUCGAACCCGUGUCCCUUGCAUUGGCAGGCAGAUUCUUAACCACUGCACCACCAGGGAAGCCCCUCAAUGAUAUUUUUUCAAAGAAAAUUUUAAAGUGGGAAGAGUAAAGGAAAACAUGAAUGAAUGAAGAACUCUCCUCUUGAUUAUAAAGUCUAAAUAAAGUUAAGAUUACAAAAGAAUAUAACUUAAAAACACAAUGAGAUGGAUCACAAGAUUUAACAAAUUCUAAAACUCAUCUGGAAUAUGAAUGGGCAAAAUGUCAAAAAAUGUUUUGGGGGAACUUAAAAUAACCAGACAGCCAUUACUGUAUUUUCUUGGAGUAAAGACAAGAGAAUCUGCCCAGGGGAAUAGAAUAGACUCUACAGAAAGAGACUGAAGUUAUUUAAGGACUUGAUGUAAGAUGAAUGAGCAUCAACACAAGGCUAUAAGAAAGAGUCACUAUUUAACAAAUAUCAUCUAAAUCGUGGUACAUCAUGGGGACUUCCCUGGUGGUCCAGUGGUUAAGACUCCAUGCUUCCACUGCAGGGGGCACAGUUUCAAUCCCUGGUCGGGGAACUAAGAUCCCACAUGCCACACAGCACGGCCAAAAAAGAAAAUAAAUUAAUAAAUAAAUAAAUUUUCCAAAAAAUCGUGGGACAUCAGCAUGGAUCAGAAUUAGCUUAUAUCCAUAUUUUUUCCCACCGUGCACUACAAUACAUUUCAAAUGGGUCAUAAAAAGCCAGAGAAGGAAAUGGAAAAGCAAAUGCGUUUCAACUGUGAUGAGAAAACAUUUUGACUACUGCUGAAAGAGAUAUCAGAGACAGGACGGAUGGACCCAAAUGUGUUGUUAAAAGCCUUUUGUGCCACAGAAUGUAAUAAAGCCAAUCCAAAAAUGAAAGCCACAGAAGGGGGAGAAAUAUAUGUGGCAAAUAAAGCUUUCUAUCCAAAAUAGCUAAGGAAUUGAUAUAACUAUAAAAGGCCAGGAUCCUGCUCCUUUUUUGAGAAGUAAUCAGAGGAAAUGAGCCGAUAGUUCACACACAAAGCUUUAUAUAGAAAAAUGACCGGCCCUAUUAUAAAUCUCGAACUUGCAAUAUGGACAACUUUUAUACUGUUAUAAAAAUCAAUUUAAAUGCUAAAACUUAAUGCUCAAUUAUUCAAAUUCCCUUGAGACUACUUUGGCAAACACUACGAAACAAUUCCGAUCCUUUGAUUCCGUAAUCUUUAUUUUAAGAAAAUGUCUAAAGAAAAUAAGGUAAAAGAAAAAAAAAUCAUCUCUACAACGUCUUCAUGGCAGUAUUAUUUAAAUAGAAAAGAAUUGGAAAGCAAUCAGUUGCACAGUGAUUUCUUAGUACUUCUCAAAGUGGGGUCUUAGGAUCCCCUACGUCAGAGUCACCUGCGAUGCUUGUAGAAAUGCAGAUUCUGGGGCCACACUUCUGACAUAGUCAAUGAGAAUCUCUGAAGGGUGCCUGGGAAUAUUCAUUUUAUCAAGCAGGUCAGCUGACCCAUAACAACACUGAAGUUUAAGAACUACUAACCUCUAAGCAAACCGCAGACCAUGGGAACAUUUAGAGGACUAGACAGCGUUUCAGGUGACAGACCCUGUGCCUGCAUAGAACUGGACAGAAGGAAUAGUGAUGACUGCAGAGAACGCCAAAGCCCAUGGGCAGCCCAUGCCCCAUGUGAGAUGCCCACAGAGCAGUGGCCACAGCAGGGUAGAAUCACUUAAGUCCUUGGAGCUUGUUAUGUUGUAUUUUGCUCUAGAGACUGUUUUAAAAAUUCCUCAUGGUCAUACAAGUUUUCACUGAUUUGUCAGAAUCCCAGGAAGGGCACUUGAAAAGUUGACAGAACACUUACAAAUAAUCUCCAGGAUCCCUGCCUCGAGCCAAACCUGCCUGGAUGUCACCCCCUCCCCUUUCCCUCCAUUGGACCCCCAGUCUCUAGGCGGUAACAGGCCCUUUCUGCCUUGGAUUUGAUCCAAGCCCUCGCAUCCCUUUACGUGUCACCCCACCGCGUCCUUGGCCGUGUCUAGCGUUGGCGCCACUGUGUGGGAUGUAGUCCUCUCAUUAGGAGAGUUUACUGCCCACACGUUUUUGCAAUAAACUGGGGAGCAGGGAGAGCUUAGCAGGCAGCUUUCUGGAGACUGCUGAAUAUUUCCUUUUCAGGAUGAGAAGGGGAGACAGGUCUGAUAGGGUGUGUUGCUAACGCAGUUCUGAGCUUCUGUGGCUCCCAGAGGGCUUACUUCCUUGCGAGCCGAUCCCUGAGGUACAGAAAUGUCACCAUAGCUCUGCUUCCCACAGAAGCCUCUUUCUUGGAACGUACAGAUCCAUUCUUGCCCAGAGCCUUGGGGCUUCUUGCCAGGAUCUAGGGAUGUCACAAGAAACUACUGUCCUGUCAAGGUUGGCCAACCUCCCUUAAGAAGGUUGGGCAAAUGCCCAGGACUCCAGGUGCCUGUGUGGGAUGGGAGAGCCCACCCGCUCUCUACAUGGAGCGGCGGGGGGUUAGUGGGGGGGCCAGACCUUGCCCAGCGACAUGCCCAAGGUUUGAACCUUGAUGUUCUGCAGCCCUGAGGGAGAGUACAAAUGCUUCCUUUCAAACUACCACAUCUGUUUCCUGGCCCUGAAAUACCAGAUCUCACCCACUCCUGGCUAUCUCACAGCUGCUCCCUCUAGGGGGUACCCAGUCUUCGGCAUCCUUGUGUGGUCCAGCAGAGGGGGCUUCUUUUCCACGAGGGAGACCAGGCUGGGGAAAGAAUCUCCUCAGGACACCAGAGUGGGCGAUUGGGAGUUAUCACUCUGCUUCCAGCCCCCAUCAACACCCUAGAACCUCACUGCCGCUUUCAGCCCUUUUGCAGGUUUUUCCCACGGGGUCAGAAACCAGCCCAGAGAGCAGAUUCCUCACUUUCCCAGCCUCCUGUGCAGCGGGCCACCCCCUUGAGGAAGAGAGCAGAGGAGUAGAAGCAGGAGGGGCAGGAGAGACACUGGGCUGAGAUCCUAUUGUGACUUUUGGAAUGGACUUUUAAUCUUUCAUCCAAAAGUAUAUGAGUGCCAGUGCUGUGCUAGGGAGCUACGACCGUAAACAGACAGACCCCUGCCUUCAGGGAAAUUACAGUCUGAUGGAGGAGGCCAAAAAUAAACAAGUAAGCAAAGCCAUGAAAUGACAUGUUUAUAUUGUAGUGAGUGCUCAGAAGGAAAUAAACGGGUACUGUGCUAGGAUAUAAGGUAGAAUUCUGCUUCAGAAAAGAUGGUCAGGGACGACCUCUCUGAGCUGAGCCUGGGUGAUAGGAAGCUGUUGACCGGGAACAGCAUUCA